GGGCAAAGUAGUUUAUUAGAAUAAUAAAUUGCAAGUUUAUAGGGAAGUUGUCUUCUUGCUCU
rnacentral:tRNA from 1 species